AGCAAGCCUUACUUUCGCAACUGCGUCGUUAAAAAAGCCCGCGCUUAGCGCGGGCUUUUCGUUGUUUGUUGCCGCUAUUGCGGCAGUAGAUCAGAACAGAUGCGAGAACAGCACAUAGAGGCCAGCGGACAGGCAGAUCGCCGCCGGCAGGGUCAGCACCCAGGCCAUCAGCAGGUUGCGGAUGGUCGCCAUCUGCAAUCCCGAUCCGUUGGCCGCCAUGGUUCCCGCGACACCGGACGACAACACGUGGGUUGUCGAGACAGGAAGGCCGAAAAUGUCGGCCGCGCCAAUCGUUCCCGCUGCAACGAGC
rnacentral:misc_RNA from 1 species